AUUGGCGUGUUGACUGCAGGAGCUGUUGCCGGGAUAAUUGAAUGUUCAUUUCUCUACCAUAAGCCGCUUCCAACGUCGUUUUUUUUUGUUUGUUGAGAAUUUGGCUCUACGUUCAAUUGGUCUCAUAACCGCAGACCCACGUGUACGGCGUCGUGUGGGCCCCAUGGUGGAGGUGGGGUUAUGGUAUUGGGCCCCAUGGUGGAGGUGGGGUUAUGGUAUUGGGCCCCAUGGUGGAGGUGGGGUUAUGGUAUGGGCCCCAUGGUGGAGGUGGGGUUAUGGUAUGGGCCCCAUGGUGGAGGUGGGGUUAUGGUAUGGGCCCCAUGGUGGAGGUGGGGUUAUGGUAUGGGGCCCCAUGGUGGAGGUGGGGUUAUGGUAUUGGGCCCCAUGGUGGAGGUGGGGUUAUGGUAUGGGCCCCAUGGUGGAGGUGGGGUUAUG
rnacentral:lncRNA from 1 species